ensembl:lncRNA
CUCGAUGGACGUGAGUCUGAGUGAACUCUGGGAGUUGGUGAUGGACAGGGAGGCCUGGCGUGCUGCGAUUCAUGGGGUCGCAAAGAGUUGGACACGACUGAGCGACUGAUCUGAUCUGAUCCCUGAUGGUCUCAAAUUUCUCAACACGGUUCGAUGUAUUGGUCUCUCUCCUUUAUUCCCUGCCAAAUUUAUUGUGCUGGGCACAGAGUAGUUCUUUCCAAUACUCUUUGCUGUGUAACAAACUACCCCAACCAUAGGUUAAAUUUGGGCAGCUUAAAGCUGGGCAGCUUUCUUUUGCGAUCUCUCAUGCAGAAGUCAGCUAUUCCAUGCAUUGGUUGGGAAUGUGGUUAUCCAAAGUCUUGACUAAGCUGGAUGUCCCAGACAACCCACUCAUAUAGCUGGCAGGUGAUGUUGCACUAUUGACUAGGGGCUCAGCUGGGGUUUUCAACCUGAGUAGCUAGCCAUAUGUGACCUCACCAUGAAGCUUGGCUUCCUCACAGCAAGGUGGCCUCAGAUAGGACUUCUCACAUGGCAUCUCAGGGCUUAAGUACAAGUGUCCCAGUGAGCAAAAUGCAAGCCCAGCUUUGGAAUCUGUACAGGGUCUCUACUGGUUAUAGGCAAUUGGUUAUAGGUUCAAGGGAUGGGGCAUAGGUCCUAUUUCUCAAUGAGGUUGACUGGUAAGACCACAUAGUACAAGAGUAUGUGAGAUGGGAGAUUUUGGAGGCUUCUUUAGAAAACAUUCUCCCAUGCUUUUUCAAUCUAGAAAAUUCUCUACAAUUCUGGGAAUUUGGGGAAGUUAUUUAAUGCAUUCUUCCCCUCCACUACUUCCCUUAGGAACUCCUACUAUUCAGAUGUUUGACCACCUGUAUUGAUGCUCCAAUUUUCUUUUUAAUUUUUUAAUAUCUUUAUCUUUUUAUCUUACUCCUAAAAUUUCUCUAUCUCUCUGUUCUAGUGACAUUAAAACUGCUGCCAUAUUAUGAAUCACUAUAUUGUACACUUUUAUAUAAUAUUGUAUGUCAACUAUACUUCAAUUUUAAGAAGUUAAAAAAAUUUUAAACUGC